rnacentral:lncRNA from 1 species
AUUGCAGGACACAUUGAUCACCGACACCCGAACGCACUUGCGGCCCCGGGUUCCUCCCGGGGCUACGCCUGUCUGAGCGUCGCUGACGAUCAAUCGCCGUCCCGGGGCCACCCCGGCGGCGCGGCUGGGGUCGCCUCGCAGGCCCGUUGCCCGCGGUGGGCGGCGGCGGCGGCGGCGCGCCGGUGCCUCGGAGGGAAGGCGGUCGGGGGGUUGGGCGAGGGAAGCGUUUCCCUCGGCCGCCCUCGAUCCCUCCCUGCCGGCCCGGCGGGCGUCGUCGUCGCCGCCGCCGCCGCGCGAAGGGCCUUCGUCCCCCUAAAUGCAGACUUCGGGGAGCGCCCCGUAGCUCCCCGCCCCCGAACGAAGCCGCUGGGGCCGGAGCUCGUCCUCGCCGGGGGCCCCGCCCAGGAUCUGGCGGCGGCGGCCGGGGAGAGGGAGAGACGGCGCCGAAAGCGCCGCCGAGGGCCGAGGGAAGGGAGAGCGAGCGAGCAGAGAGAGAGAGAGAAGGCGAGAGGGAGGCGGGCGCGGGCCUCGCCCCGCCCGCCCGCGCGGGCGGCUGUCUGCGGGUGGGUGCCGCCGAGGGUACCGUGCCGUGCUGCCGCGGCGCGAGGCCGGCGCCGGGGACGGGGGGUUCCGACCCCCUCCUCCCUUGGCCCGCCCUGCUCCUCCUCCUCCUCCUCCUCCUCCUCUUCCGUCAGCGGUCUCGGGCGCCGAGGGCCGUCGCUCCUCGCUCUCCCCCCCCCGCCGAGGCGCGCGCCGCCGCCCGGCCGCGCGUCCUCCUGCAGCGGGGCCGUCUCUGCCCGCGGGCCUUGCCUUUUCGGUUCUCGUCUCCGGGAUGGGGGCUGUCCGCCGUCUCCCCUCCCGCUGGGGCGGGGGCGCGAGAGAGGCGGCCGUCCCGGCGCUGGCGCUCCCGGGCGCCCGCUGGCGCGCGGCGCGGCCGAAGCUUUGGGCUUGCGACCUCAGAUCAGGCGUGGCGACCCGCUGAAUUUAAGCAUAUUAGUCAGCGGAGGAAAAGAAACUAACGAGGAUUCCCUCAGUAACGGCGGCGAAAGAGGGAAAAGCCCAGCGCCGAAUCCCCGCCCCGCGGUGGGGCGCUGGACAUGUGGCGUACAGAAGCCCCCCCCCCGGCGGCGCUCUCGGGGACCCAAGUCCCUUGUGAUCGAGGCCGCAGCCCGCGGGCGGUGUGAGGCCGGUAGCGGCCCCGGCGCCGGGCCCGGGGCUUCGGAGUCGGGUUGCUUGGGAAUGCAGCCCAAAGCGGGUGGUAAACUCCAUCUAAGGCUAAAUACCGGCACGAGACCGAUAGCCAACAAGUACCGUAAGGGAAAGUUGAAAAGAACUUUGAAGAGAGAGUUCAAGAGGGCGUGA